GACGAACGCUGGCGGCGUGCCUAAUACAUGCAAGUCGAACGCCUCUUUCCUCCCGAGUGCUUGCACUCAAUUGGAGAGAGGAGUGGCGGACGGGUGAGUAACACGUGGGUAACCUACCCAUAAGAGGGGGAUAACACUUGGAAACCGGUGCUAAUACCGCAUAACAGUUUAUGCCGCAUGGCUUAAGAGUGAAAGGCCCUUUCGGGUGUCGCUGAUGGACGGACCCGCGGUGCAUUAGCGAGUUGGUGAGGUAACGGCUCACCAAGGCCACGAUGCAUAGCCGACCUGAGAGGGUGAUCGGCCACACUGGGACUGAGACACGGCCCAGACUCCUACGGGAGGCAGCAGUAGGGAAUCUUCGGCAAUGGACGAAAGUCUGACCGAGCAACGCCGCGUGAGUGAAGAAGGUUUUCGGAUCGUAAAACUCUGUUGUUAGAGGAGAACAAGGACGUUAGUAACUGAACGUCCCCUGACGGUAUCUAACCAGAAAGCCACGGCUAACUACGUGCCAGCCGCCGCAGUAA
rnacentral:rRNA from 1 species